rnacentral:rRNA from 1 species
AUUGAACGCUGGCGGCAUGCCUUACACAUGCAAGUCGAACGGCAGCACGGAGCUUGCUCUGGUGGCGAGUGGCGAACGGGUGAGUAAUAUAUCGGAACGUACCCUAGAGUGGGGGAUAACGUAGCGAAAGUUACGCUAAUACCGCAUACGAUCUAAGGAUGAAAGUGGGGGAUCGCAAGACCUCAUGCUCGUGGAGCGGCCGAUAUCUGAUUAGCUAGUUGGUAGGGUAAAAGCCUACCAAGGCAUCGAUCAGUAGCUGGUCUGAGAGGACGACCAGCCACACUGGAACUGAGACACGGUCCAGACUCCUACGGGAGGCAGCAGUGGGGAAUUUUGGACAAUGGGCGAAAGCCUGAUCCAGCAAUGCCGCGUGAGUGAAGAAGGCCUUCGGGUUGUAAAGCUCUUUUGUCAGGGAAGAAACGGUGAGAGCUAAUAUCUCUUGCUAAUGACGGUACCUGAAGAAUAAGCACCGGCUAACUACGUGCCAGCAGCCGCGGUAAUACGUAGGGUGCAAGCGUUAAUCGGAAUUACUGGGCGUAAAGCGUGCGCAGGCGGUUUUGUAAGUCUGAUGUGAAAUCCCCGGGCUCAACCUGGGAAUUGCAUUGGAGACUGCAAGGCUAGAAUCUGGCAGAGGGGGGUAGAAUUCCACGUGUAGCAGUGAAAUGCGUAGAUAUGUGGAGGAACACCGAUGGCGAAGGCAGCCCCCUGGGUCAAGAUUGACGCUCAUGCACGAAAGCGUGGGGAGCAAACAGGAUUAGAUACCCUGGUAGUCCACGCCCUAAACGAUGUCUACUAGUUGUCGGGUCUUAAUUGACUUGGUAACGCAGCUAACGCGUGAAGUAGACCGCCUGGGGAGUACGGUCGCAAGAUUAAAACUCAAAGGAAUUGACGGGGACCCGCACAAGCGGUGGAUGAUGUGGAUUAAUUCGAUGCAACGCGAAAAACCUUACCUACCCUUGACAUGGCUGGAAUCCUUGAGAGAUCAGGGAGUGCUCGAAAGAGAACCAGUACACAGGUGCUGCAUGGCUGUCGUCAGCUCGUGUCGUGAGAUGUUGGGUUAAGUCCCGCAACGAGCGCAACCCUUGUCAUUAGUUGCUACGAAAGGGCACUCUAAUGAGACUGCCGGUGACAAGCCGGAGGAAGGUGGGGAUGACGUCAAGUCCUCAUGGCCCUUAUGGGUAGGGCUUCACACGUCAUACAAUGGUACAUACAGAGCGCCGCCAACCCGCGAGGGGGAGCUAAUCGCAGAAAGUGUAUCGUAGUCCGGAUUGUAGUCUGCAACUCGGCUGCAUGAAGUUGGAAUCGCUAGUAAUCGCGGAUCAGCAUGUCGCGGUGAAUACGUUCCCGGGUCU